rnacentral:misc_RNA from 1 species
CGGCAAUAACGUCGGCCAUCGGAGGGUCCCAUCUUCUGGUGGGUCCCACAAGAAGCUAAGGAGGCUACCCCACAUCUUCAGCAGGGUCUUGGAGCUCCCCUUCCGCUCGGACGCCGAUGUAUCGGUGGAGGAAAAUCCUGAUUGCUUCCGAUUCGUGGUGGAAACCGAUAAUAUCGGGGACGUCAGAGCUCAUACGAUCGAAAUCCACCCUGG